rnacentral:rRNA from 1 species
UUAAGUGAAGAAGGGCGCACGGUGGAUGCCUUGGCACUAGGAGCCGAAGAAGGACGGGACUAACACCGAUAUGCCUCGGGGAGUCGUAAGUAGACUGCGAUCCGGGGAUUUCCGAAUGGGGGAACCCACUGCUCGUAAUGGAGCAGUACCUGUAUCUGAAUACAUAGGAUACAGGAGGCAGACCCGGGGAACUGAAACAUCUCAGUACCCGGAGGAAGAGAAAGCAAACGCGAUUUCCUGAGUAGCGGCGAGCGAAACGGAAACAGCCCAAACCAAAAGGCUUGCCUUUUGGGGUUGUAGGACACUCCACCAGGAGUUAUCAAGAAAUGUGUUAGACGAAUCGAUCUGGAACGAUCAGCCAAAGCAGGUAAGAGCCCUGUAGUUGAAAAGGCAUUUCCUCCGGAGUGGAUCCUGAGUACGGCGGAACACGUGGAAUUCCGUCGGAAUCCGGGAGGACCAUCUCCCAAGGCUAAAUACUCCCUAGUGACCGAUAGUGAACCAGUACCGUGAGGGAAAGGUGAAAAGCACCCCGGGAGGGGAGUGAAAGAGAACCUGAAACCGUGCGCUUACAAGUAGUCGGAGCACAUUGAUGUGUGACGGCGUACCUUUUGUAGAAUGGACCGGCGAGUUACGAUCGUAUGCAAGGUUAAGUGGAAGACACGGAGCCGCAGCGAAAGCGAGUCUGAACAGGGCGAAUGAGUAUGCGGUCGUAGACCCGAAACCGUGUGAUCUACCCAUGUCCAGGGUGAAGGUCAGGUAACACUGACUGGAGGCCCGAACCCACGUAUGUUGAAAAAUGCGGGGAUGAGGUGUGGGUAGGGGUGAAAUGCCAAUCGAACACGGAGAUAGCUGGUUCUCUCCGAAAUAGCUUUAGGGCUAGCCUCAAGGAUAGCGAGUACUGGAGGUAGAGCACUGAUUGGACGAGGGGCCCUCACCGGGUUACCGAAUUCAGUCAAACUCCGAAUGCCAGCUACUUCCCCUUGGGAGUCAGACUAUGGGUGAUAAGGUUCAUAGUCGAAAGGGAAACAGCCCAGACCGCCAGCUAAGGUCCCCAAGUAUACGUUAAGUGGAAAAGGAUGUGGCGUUGCCCAGACAACCAGGAUGUUGGCUUAGAAGCAGCCAUCAUUUAAAGAGUGCGUAAUAGCUCACUGGUCGAGUGACACUGCGCCGAAAAUAUACCGGGGCUAAACGUAUCACCGAAGCUGCGGAUUGUUCCGAUGGAACAAUGGUAGGAGAGCGUUCCAAGUGCUGCGAAGUCAGACCGUGAGGACUGGUGGAGCGCUUGGAAGUGAGAAUGCCGGUAUGAGUAGCGAAAAAAGAGUGAGAAUCUCUUUCACCGAAUGCCUAAGGUUUCCUGAGGAAGGCUCGUCCGCUCAGGGUUAGUCGGGACCUAAGCCGAGGCCGAAAGGCGUAGGCGAUGGACAACAGGCAGAUAUUCCUGUACCACCUCAUGACCGUUAUGUAGCGAUGGGGAGACGCAGUAGGAUAAGGAAAGCGCACCGAUGGAUGUGUGCGCCCAAGCAGUAAGGGAGCUGGAUAGGCAAAUCCGUUCAGCAAUCUCAAGCUGUGAUGGGGAGUGAACAUGAGUAGCGAAGUUCCUGAUUUCACACUGCCAAGAAAACCCUCUAGCGAGGUCACAGGUGCCCGUACCGCAAACCGACACAGGUAGGCGAGGAGAGAAUCCUAAGGUGAUCGGGAGAACUCUCGUUAAGGAACUCGGCAAAAUGACCCCGUAACUUCGGGAGAAGGGGUGCUUCAUUUACAUGGAGCCGCAGUGAAUAGGCCCAAGCGACUGUUUAGCAAAAACACAGGUCUCUGCGAAGCCGAAAGGCGAAGUAUAGGGGCUGACACCUGCCCGGUGCUGGAAGGUUAAGGGGAAGCGUUAGUACCUUCGGGUGCGAAGCGCAGAACCGAAGCCCCAGUAAACGGCGGCCGUAACUAUAACGGUCCUAAGGUAGCGAAAUUCCUUGUCGGGUAAGUUCCGACCCGCACGAAAGGUGCAACGACUUGGGCACUGUCUCAACGAGAGACCCGGUGAAAUUAUACGAUGCGUGAAGAUGCGCAUUACCCGCGACAGGACGGAAAGACCCCGUGGAGCUUUACUGUAGCCUGAUAUUGCAUGUUGGUACAGCUUGUACAGGAUAGGUGGGAGCCUUAGAACCCGGAGCGCCAGCUUCGGUGGAGGCACCCGUGGGAUACCACCCUGGCUGUACGGACAUUCUAACCCAGGACCGUCAUCCGGUUCGGAGACAGUGUCAGGCGGGCAGUUUGACUGGGGCGGUCGCCUCCUAAAAGGUAACGGAGGCGCCCAAAGGUUCCCUCAGAAUGGUUGGAAAUCAUUCGUAGCGUGUAAAGGCAGAAGGGAGCUUGACUGCGAGACCUACAAGUCGAGCAGGGACGAAAGUCGGGCUUAGUGAUCCGGUGGUUCCGUAUGGAAGGGCCAUCGCUCAACGGAUAAAAGCUACCCCGGGGAUAACAGGCUUAUCUCCCCCAAGAGUUCACAUCGACGGGGAGGUUUGGCACCUCGAUGUCGGCUCAUCGCAUCCUGGGGCUGUAGUCGGUCCCAAGGGUUGGGCUGUUCGCCCAUUAAAGCGGUACGCGAGCUGGGUUCAGAACGUCGUGAGACAGUUCGGUCCCUAUCCGUCGUGGGCGUUGGAAGUUUGAGAGGAGCUGUCCUUAGUACGAGAGGACCGGGAUGGACACACCGCUGGUGUACCAGUUGUUCCGCCAGGAGCAUAGCUGGGUAGCUACGUGUGGCAAGGAUAAGUGCUGAAAGCAUCUAAGCAUGAAGCCACCCUCAAGAUGAGACUUCCCANAGUACGAGAGGACCGGGAUGGACACACCGCUGGUGUACCAGUUGUUCCGCCAGGAGCAUAGCUGGGUAGCUACGUGUGGCAAGGAUAAGUGCUGAAAGCAUCUAAGCAU